CAAGUGGAGCGACGAACCAGGGCUUGCCCUGGGGCAGAGCCGCGAACGGGUGAGUAACACGUGGGUAACCUACCCCGAUGACCGGGACAACCCGAGGAAACUCGGGCUAAUACCGGAUGUUCUCGCUUCCUCUAAGGGAAGUGAGCAAAGAUAGCUUCGGCCUUCGCAUCGGGACGGGCCCGCGGCCCAUUAGCUUGUUGGUGGGGUAACGGCCUACCAAGGCGACGAUGGGUAGCUGGUCUGAGAGGACGAUCAGCCACACUGGGACUGAGACACGGCCCAGACUCCUACGGGAGGCAGCAGUGGGGAAUCUUGCGCAAUGGGCGAAAGCCUGACGCAGCAACACCGCGUUGGGGAAGAAGGCCUUCGGGUUGUAAACCCCUUUCAGUUGGGACGAAGCUUCCAGGGUUAAUAGCUCUGUGGAGUGACGGUACCUUCAGAAGAAGCCCCGGCUAACUACGUGCCAGCAGCCGCGGUAAUACGUAGGGGGCUAGCGUUGUCCGGAAUCAUUGGGUGUAAAGAGCGUGUAGGCUGCCCGGUAAGUCCGCUGUGAAAGUCGGGGGCUCAACCCUCGAAUGCCGGUGGAUACUGUCGGGCUAGAGUGCGGAAGAGGCGAGUGGAAUUCCUGGUGUAGCGGUGAAAUGCGCAGAUAUCAGGAGGAACACCAAUUGCGAAGGCAGCUCGCUGGGACGUAACUGACGCUGAGACGCGAAAGCGUGGGGGAGCAAACAGGAUUAGAUACCCUGGUAGUCCACGCUGUAAACGUUGGGAACUAGUUGUGGGGUCCAUUCCACGGAUUCCGUGACGCAGCUAACGCAUUAAGUUCCCCGCCU
rnacentral:rRNA from 1 species